rnacentral:rRNA from 1 species
UACGUAGGAGACGAGCGUUGUCCGGAAUUACUGGGCGUAAAGCGCGUGUAGGCGGAUGAGCAAGUCUGCUGUGAAAGCUCCUGGCUUAACCGGGAGUGGUCGGUGGAAACUGCUCGUUUGGAGGACGGUAGAGGUAGGUAGAAUUCCCGGUGUAGUGGUGAAAUGCGUAGAGAUCGGGAGGAAUACCUGUGGCGAAGGCGGCCUACUGGGCCGGACCUGACGCUGAGACGCGAAGGCGUGGGGAGCGAACGGG